GCUUGUCAAACGCAACACGUGGAACGUAUAUUGCUGUGCAAGGGCUUUCAAGCCUACCGUUUGGAAAUUUAAUCCCAUAACUCGUGCUCGUGGGAAGGCACUCACUGACAGUCCACGAAAAUUUUGUCCGAUUUUCCGGGAAAUCAUGAACUGCACGUGUGAUUUUUUUCUAGUGGCCGUGUUUUCUCAGUGUCAGAUUCGACUCUGCGUUGAUUUCACGGGAAUCGUUUCUUGGACUGAAGUUUCUACACCAGCAGUGUUUUUGCCACCCCCACCUCCUCCCAGUUCCCACACCUCCGCUCUUCCCAGCCAUUCCUCAAGCCUGUGUUUCCCUCCAAGUUUCAGAAGGACUUCUGAAGAGCAGCUUGGUCUAAGACCCAAAAAGGUAGCGUCGGAUAUACAGAUAAAAGAUGAAGUACGACGUCACGGACUGUUACUGUACUACCUUAGUCAUGAUAUUCAUGGGCUGAGAAACUCCGUUUGUUGACAUCACUGUUGACAUCAUUCCCAAUAAGUAUUUGUUACCAUGCAUACUCAGGAGGAAAUUAAUCUGGAUGUUUUACAGGAAUUAAAGCUUAAAACAGGUGUCCCAUGCA